rnacentral:rRNA from 1 species
AGGGGUAUGAGUAGCAAUAUUCAGAGACCGGCGCACGGGUGAGUAACGCGUAUGCAACCUGCCCUUUACAGGGGGAUAGCCCGUCGAAAGGCGGAUUAAUACCCCAUAACAUUAUUUUGCCGCAUGGUAGAAUGAUAAAAGCUGAGGCGGUAAAGGAUGGGCAUGCGUGACAUUAGCUAGUUGGUAGGGUAACGGCCUACCAAGGCUACGAUGUCUAGGGGUUCUGAGAGGAAGGUCCCCCACACUGGUACUGAGACACGGACCAGACUCCUACGGGAGGCAGCAGUGAGGAAUAUUGGUCAAUGGGCGCGAGCCUGAACCAGCCAUCCCGCGUGCAGGAAGACGGCCCUAUGGGUUGUAAACUGCUUUUGUGCAGGAAGAAUGUACCCAUCGUGAUGGGUAGUGACGGUACUGCAUGAAUAAGCACCGGCUAACUCCGUGCCAGCAGCCGCGGUAAUACGGAGGGUGCAAGCGUUAUCCGGAUUUAUUGGGUUUAAAGGGUGCGUAGGCGGCGAAAUACGUCAGUGGUGAAAUCCUGCAGCUCAACUGUAGAACAGCCAUUGAAACUGCUUUGCUUGAGUAAUCUUGAGGUAGGCGGAAUGUGUAGUGUAGCGGUGAAGUGCUUAGAUAUUACACAGAACACCGAUUGCGUAGGCAGCUUACUAGCGGUUCACUGACGCUGAUGCACGAAAGCGUGGGGAUCAAACAGGAUUAGAUACCCUGGUAGUCCACGCCGUAAACGAUGAUAACUCGCUGUUGGCGAUACACAGUCAGCGGCUUAGCGAAAGCGUUAAGUUAUCCACCUGGGGAGUACGCUCGCAAGAGUGAAACUCAAAGGAAUUGACGGGGCCCGCACAAGCGGAGGAACAUGUGGU